UCCCAGACUCCUACGGGAGGCAGCAGUGAGGAAUAUUGGGCAAUGGGGGCAACCCUGACCCAGCCAUGCCGCGUGAGUGAAGAAGGUCUUCGGAUUGUAAAGCUCUUUCGGACGUGACGAUGAUGACGGUAGCGUCUAAAGAAGCACCGGCAAACUUCGUGCCAGCAGCCGCGGUAAUACGAAGGGUGCGAGCGUUAUCCGGAUUUAUUGGGUUUAAAGGGUGCGUAGGCGGGACCUUAAGUCAGCGGUAAAAUUGCGGUGCUCAACGCCGUAGAGCCGUUGAAACUGGGGUUCUUGAGUGAGCGAGAAGUAUGCGGAAUGCGUGGUGUAGCGGUGAAAUGCAUAGAUAUCACGCAGAACCCCGAUUGCGAAGGCAGCAUACCGGCGCUCAACUGACGCUGAGGCACGAAAGUGCGGGUAUCGAACAGGAUUAGAUACCCCUGUA
rnacentral:rRNA from 1 species